GAUGAACGCUGGCGGCGUGCCUAAUACAUGCAAGUCGAGCGAACGGACGAGAAGCUUGCUUUUCUGAUGUUAGCGGCGGACGGGUGAGUAACACGUGGAUAACCUACCUAUAAGACUGGGAUAACUUCGGGAAACCGGAGCUAAUACCGGAUAAUAUUUUGAACCGCAUGGUUCAAAAGUGAAAGACGGUCUUGCUGUCACUUAUAGAUGGAUCCGCGCUGCAUUAGCUAGUUGGUAAGGUAACGGCUUACCAAGGCAACGAUGCAUAGCCGACCUGAGAGGGGGAACGGCCACCCUGGAACUGAGACCCGGUCCAGACUCCUACGGGAGGCAGCAGGAGGGAAUCUUCCGCAAUGGGGGAAAGCCUGACGGAGCAACGCCGCGUGAGUGAUGAAGGUUUUCGGAUCGUAAAACCCUGUUAUUAGGGAAGAACAUAUGUGUAAGUAACUGUGCACAUCUUGACGGUACCAAAUCAGAAAGCCACGGCUAACUACGU
rnacentral:rRNA from 1 species